GACGAACGCUGGCGGCGCGCUUAACACAUGCAAGUCGAGCGAGAACCAGCCCUUCGGGGCUGGGGAGAGCGGCGAACGGGUGAGUAACACGUGGGUAAUCAACCCUCGGUACUGGGAUAGCCCGGGGAAACCCGGAUUAAUACCGGAUGGCCCUUCGAAUCCUCGGAUUUGAAGGAAAAGGUACCUUCGGCCUCCGACCGAGGACGAGCCCGCGGCGGAUUAGCUUGUUGGUGGGGUAACGGCCUACCAAGGCGACGAUCCGUAGCUGGUCUGAGAGGACGAUCAGCCACACUGGGUCUGAGACACGGCCCAGACUUCUACGGAAGGCAGCAGUGGGGAAUCUUGCGCUAAUGCGGGAAACCGUGACGCAGCGACGCCGCGUGGGGGAAGAAGGCCUUCGGGUUGUAAACCUCUUUCAGGAGGGACGAAGCUACUCGGGUUAAUAGCCCAGAGGGUGACGGUACCUCCAGAAGAAGCCCCGGCUAACUACGUGCCAGCCGCCGCGGUAA
rnacentral:rRNA from 1 species